rnacentral:rRNA from 1 species
UUUGGCCUACGGGAGGCAGCAGUGGGGAAUAUUGGACAAUGGGGGGAACCCUGAUCCAGCGACGCCGCGUGAGUGAAGAAGUAUUUCGGUAUGUAAAGCUCUAUCAGCAGGGAAGAAAGAAAUGACGGUACCUGACUAAGAAGCCCCGGCUAACUACGUGCCAGCAGCCGCGGUAAUACGUAGGGGGCAAGCGUUAUCCGGAUUUACUGGGUGUAAAGGGAGCGUAGACGGCAGCGCAAGUCUGGAGUGAAAUGCCGGGGCCCAACCCCGGAACUGCUCUGGAAACUGUGAAGCUGGAGUGCAGG